UACAGAGGUCUCAAGCGUUGUUCGGAUUCAUUGGGCGUAAAGGGUGUGUAGGUGGCGCGCUAAGUCGGGUGUGAAAUUUCGGAGCUUAACUCCGAAACUGCAUUUGAUACUGGCGUGCUUGAGGACUGGAGAGGAGACUGGAAUUCAUGGUGUAGCAGUGAAAUGCGUAGAGAUCAUGAGGAAGACCAGUGGCGAAGGCGGGUCUCUGGACAGUUCCUGACACUGAGACACGAAGGCCAGGGAGCAAACGGG
rnacentral:rRNA from 1 species